UGCUCCCAUCUCAGCCAGCAAGGAGACACAGGGGAGGGGGUGUGCAGACUUGCCAUGACCUCAGACUCCAUGCUGGAAAGGCAUGGCCCUGGGCCAGGGCAUCCUAAGCAGCCCAUCUGCCCCAAUCCCCCAGCUUCCAGGCCACCAGAGUCCUCAGCAAGGGGGAUCUGAGUAAGAGAUGGGCAGUGACUCCCCAACUCUUGUAGAAACCUAGUCCUCCCAUUUCAACAAGGGUAAGGCUGACCUCUCUUCCAGCUUAUUCAGGGCAAAAGAUGGCCCUCCCAUCACAAGAGGGGCAGGAGUCCAGUGGGUCAUGGCUCAGCCCCCUGCUCCUUUCCCAGGGAGCAAGGUAAGUAUGGUGGCCUUCAGGACAGGGCAGGAAGACCAAAGCCUGAACCCUUGCGCAGCCAUGGGAGAAGACAGCACAUUAGAGGGUAGCCCCUGAGACCCAGGAGAACAGGGACUGACUCACGGUGUCCUUCCAGGGAGGAGGGAGGCAGUCAUAUCCACAGCCCGCCCUUGAAGAGGGGCGAAGUGGAGCUGGCAGGGCUGCUGGUAAAAGCAGCACCCCCGACCCCCACCCCUCAAGUCCAUUCUCCAGUUGGGAGAAACAGCAGUGACCAUCACAUGGUAAGCAGUGAGUGGUUCUGUGA
rnacentral:lncRNA from 1 species